GAGUGGCGGACGGGUGAGUAAUGCUUGGGAACUUGCCUUUGCGAGGGGGAUAACAGUUGGAAACGACUGCUAAUACCGCAUAAUGUCUUCGGACCAAACGGGGCUUCGGCUCCGGCGCAAAGAGAGGCCCAAGUGAGAUUAGCUAGUUGGUAAGGUAACGGCUUACCAAGGCGACGAUCUCUAGCUGUUCUGAGAGGAAGAUCAGCCACACUGGGACUGAGACACGGCCCAGACUCCUACGGGAGGCAGCAGUGGGGAAUAUUGCACAAUGGGGGAAACCCUGAUGCAGCCAUGCCGCGUGUGUGAAGAAGGCCUUCGGGUUGUAAAGCACUUUCAGUUGUGAGGAAAAGUUAGUAGUUAAUACCUGCUAGCCGUGACGUUAACAACAGAAGAAGCACCGGCUAACUCCGUGCCAGCAGCCGCGGUAAUACGGAGGGUGCGAGCGUUAAUCGGAAUUACUGGGCGUAAAGCGCACGCAGGCGGUUUGUUAAGCUAGAUGUGAAAGCCCCGGGCUCAACCUGGGAUGGUCAUUUAGAACUGGCAGACUAGAGUCUUGGAGAGGGGAGUGGAAUUCCAGGUGUAGCGGUGAAAUGCGUAGAUAUCUGGAGGAACAUCAGUGGCGAAGGCGACUCCNNGGCCAAAGACUGACGCUCAUGUGCGAAAGUGUGGGUAGCGAACAGGAUUAGAUACCCUGGUAGUCCACACCGUAAACGCUGUCUACUAGCUGUGUGUG
rnacentral:rRNA from 2 species